AUUGAACGCUGGCGGCAUGCUUUACACAUGCAAGUCGAACGGUAACAGGUUAAGCUGACGAGUGGCGAACGGGUGAGUAAUGCAUCGGAACGUGCCCGAUCGUGGGGGAUAACACUUCGAAAGAAGUGCUAAUACCGCAUACGAUCUGAGGAUGAAAGCGGGGGACCGUAAGGCCUAGCGCGAUCGGAGCGGCCGAUGUCAGAUUAGGUAGUUGGUGAGGUAAAGGCUGACCAAGCCGACGAUAUGUAGCUGGUCUGAGAGGACGACCAGCCACACUGGGACUUAUACACGGACCAGACUCCGUCGGGAGGCAGCAGUGGGGAAUUUUGGACAAUGGGCGCAAGCCUGAUCCAGCCAUGCCGCGUGCGGGAAGAAGGCCUUCGGGUUGUAAACCGCUUUUGUCAGGGAAGAAAAGGUUCUGGCUAAUACCUGGGACUCAUGACGGUACCUGAAGAAUAAGCACCGGCUAACUACGUGCCAGCCGCCGCCGUAA
rnacentral:rRNA from 1 species